rnacentral:rRNA from 1 species
AGUCACUGACAUUAGAUACCCGCGUAGUCCCAGCCGUAAACUAUGCGCGUUAGGUGUACUGGUGACCACGAGUCACCGGGGUGCCGAAGGGAAACCGUGAAACGUGCCGCCUGGGAAGUACGUCCGCAAGGAUGAAACUUAAAGGAAUUGGCGGGGGAGCACCGCAACGGGAGGAGCGUGCGGUUUAAUUGGAUUCAACACCGUAAACUCACCAGGGAAGACUGUUACAUGAAGGCCGAGAUGAAGACUCUGCUAGAUUUUCAG